rnacentral:rRNA from 1 species
AACGAACGCUGGCGGCAUGCCUAACACAUGCAAGUCGAACGAGACCUUCGGGUCUAGUGGCGCACGGGUGCGUAACGCGUGGGAACCUGCCCUUAGGUUCGGAAUAACUCCCCGAAAGGGGUGCUAAUACCGGAUAAUGUCUUCGGACCAAAGAUUUAUCGCCUUUGGAUGGGCCCGCGUUGGAUUAGCUAGUUGGUAGGGUAAAAGUCUACCAAGGCGACGAUCCAUAGCUGGUCUGAGAGGAUGAUCAGCCACACUGGGACUGAGACACGGCCCAGACUCCUACGGGAGGCAGCAGUGGGGAAUAUUGGACAAUGAGCGAAAGCCUGAUCCAGCAAUGCCGCGUGAGUGAUGAAGGCCUUAGGGUUGUAAAGCUCUUUUACCCGGGAUGAUAAUGACAGUACCGGGAGAAUAAGCACCGGCUAACUCCGUG